rnacentral:rRNA from 1 species
GAUGAACGCUGGCGGCGUGCCUAAUACAUGCAAGUCGAGCGAAUGGAUUAAGAGCUUGCUCUUAUGAAGUUAGCGGCGGACGGGUGAGUAACACGUGGGUAACCUGCCCAUAAGACUGGGAUAACUCCGGGAAACCGGGGCUAAUACCGGAUAACAUUUUGAACCGCAUGGUUCGAAAUUGAAAGGCGGCUUCGGCUGUCACUUAUGGAUGGACCCGCGUCGCAUUAGCUAGUUGGUGAGGUAACGGCUCACCAAGGCAACGAUGCGUAGCCGACCGGAGAGGGGGAUCGGCCACACUGGGACUGAGACACGGCCCAGACUCCUACGGGAGGCAGCAGUAGGGAAUCUUCCGCAAUGGACGAAAGUCUGACGGAGCAACGCCGCGUGAGUGAUGAAGGCUUUCGGGUCGUAAAACUCUGUUGUUAGGGAAGAACAAGUGCUAGUUGAAUAAGCUGGCACCUUGACGGUACCUAACCAGAAAGCCACGACUAACUACGUGCCAGCCGCCGCCGCAG